UACGAAGGGGGCUAGCGUUGCUCGGAAUUACUGGGCGUAAAGCGCACGUAGGCGGCUUCCUAAGUCGGGGGUGAAAUCCUGGAGCUCAACUCCAGAACUGCCUUCGAUACUGGAAAGCUCGAGUCCGGGAGAGGUGAGUGGAACUGCGAGUGUAGAGGUGAAAUUCGUAGAUAUUCGCAAGAACACCAGGUGGCGAAGGCGGCUCACUGGCCCGGUACUGACGCUGAGGUGCGAAAGCGUGGGGAGCAAACAGG
rnacentral:rRNA from 1 species